UAUGUACUCCCUCCGUCCGAAAAUACUUGUCAUCAAAAUGGAUAGGAAGGGAUGUAUCUAGAACUAAAAUACGUCUAGAUACAUCCUCUUUUAUUCAUUUUUAUGACAAGUAUUUCCGGACGGAGGGAGUACAUA
rfam:Triticum aestivum genome assembly, contig: Triticum_aestivum_CS42_TGACv1_scaffold_580695_7BL